CGUAAAUCGUUGUUUUGAGAAAGUUUCGAUCGAUCGACUUGGGUUCUGUCCGUCUGUGCUUCCGGAGGUCCUGAUGACUCGUACCGCCGCUUCCCCUGUUCAUCCGGACACGGAGGUUACGGUACCAGAAGGCCGGUUGCAGGUCGAAUACGAGGCCGUCUCCGGCCGGUUUUCCGCGGCGGCGGAUCACGUCCAUUUCGCAACAGCUGCAGCUGGAGACACAGCUCGUUGCCGUUGUCGAGAGUGCGUCGCUCUGGGGGCAUGUUUCGGCUACUACGUUCAUCACCACCCUUUUGGCGACCUGUUUUUCGGUUCCCGAAUAGAUCCACCACUUACGAGACGCGCACCUUCUUCUUAGUACACUGAUUUAUAGUCAAAUAGGUUCAAUAUAGACAGUUUAUGCCAAGACACCAGCUUCUUUGGAGAGAUGUAUACCUCACAUCGAACACUUUCACCAGCUCGUCUGUUCAUCAUCAUAAAGUAAGCAAGUACGUACAAGAAGUAAACACAUAUAUAUAUAUGACAUCAAUACAACCACUUAAACAUGUCACCUAGUUUAUAUG
rnacentral:rRNA from 1 species